AUUGAACGCUGGCGGCAGGCCUAACACAUGCAAGUCGAGCGGAGCGGCGGACGGGUGAGUAAUGCAUAGGAAUCUGCCUGGUAUUGGGGGCUAGCGUCCGGAAACGGGAGCUAAUACCGCAUCCUAUCAGAUGAGCCUUGGUCGGGUUAGCUAGUUGGAGGGGUAAAGGCCUACAAAGGCGACGAUCCGUAGCUGGGCUGAGAGGAUGAUCAGUCACACUGGAACUGAGACACGGUCCAGACUCCUACGGGAGGCAGCAGUGGGGAAUAUUGGACAAUGGGCGAAAGCCUGACCCAGCCACGCCGCGUGUGUGAAGAAGGUCUUCGGAUUGUAAAGCACUUUAAGUUGGGAGGCGUUACCAACAGAAUAAGCACCGGCUAACUUCGUGCCAGCAGCCGCGGUAAUAC
rnacentral:rRNA from 1 species